ACUCAAAGGAAUAGACGGGGGCCCGCACAAGCGGUGGAGCAUGUGGUUUAAUUCGAGGCAACGCGAAGAACCUUACCAAGGCUUGACAUGGAGAUGACUGAUAUAGAGAUAUAUCUUCCCUUCGGGGCAUUUCACACAGGUGGUGCAUGGUUGUCGUCAGCUCGUGUCGUGAGAUGUUGGGUUAAGUCCCGCAACGAGCGCAACCCUUACGUUCAGUUGCCAGCAGGUAGCGCUGGGCCACACUGGAGGGACUGCCGUGGACAACACGGAGGAAGGUGGGGAUGACGUCAAAUCAUCAUGCCCCUUAUGUCUUGGGCUACACACGUGCUACAAUGGCGCCUACAACGUGAAGCAAAGCGGUGACGCAGAGCGGACCACAAAAAGGCGCCCCAGUUCGGAUUGUAGGCUGCAACCCGCCUGCAUGAAGUUGGAAUCGCUAGUAAUCGCGGAUCAGCACGCCGCGGUGAAUACGUUCCCGGGCCUUGCACACACCGCCCGU
rnacentral:rRNA from 1 species